rnacentral:rRNA from 1 species
GUGGUUUAAUUCGAUGCAACGCGAAAAACCUUACCUACCCUUGACAUGUCUGGAAUCCUGAAGAGAUUUGGGAGUGCUCGAAAGAGAGCCAGAACACAGGUGCUGCAUGGCCGUCGUCAGCUCGUGUCGUGAGAUGUUGGGUUAAGUCCCGCAACGAGCGCAACCCUUGUCAUUAGUUGCUACGAAAGGGCACUCUAAUGAGACUGCCGGUGACAAACCGGAGGAAGGUGGGGAUGACGUCAGGUCAUCAUGGCCCUUAUGGGUAGGGCUACACACGUCAUACAAUGGCCGGGACAGAGGGCUGCCAACCCGCGAGGGGGAGCUAAUCCCAGAAACCCGGUCGUAGUCCGGAUCGUAGUCUGCAACUCGACUGCGUGAAGUCGGAAUCGCUAGUAAUCGCGGAUCAGCUUGCCGCGGUGAAUACGUUCCCGGGUCUUGUACACACCGCCCGUCACACCAUGGGAGCGGGUUCUGCCAGAAGUAGUUAGCCUAACCGCAAGGGGGGC